rfam:Gossypium raimondii Chr02_contig_1076, whole genome shotgun sequence.
AUACCGUGAUGAGGGAUUUUCAUAAUAACUCAUUGAACCACUCCCAUGCCUUAUAUAAAGAUUCUAUAUCAAGUUGUUGAAAUGAAGUGAUUUCAUUUCGAAUCU